rnacentral:rRNA from 1 species
AAUAUUGGACAAUGGGCGAAAGCCUGAUCCAGCCAUGCCGCGUGUGUGAAGAAGGUCUUCGGAUUGUAAAGCACUUUAAGUUGGGAGGAAGGGGUGGAGGCUAAUACCUUCAAACUUUGACGUUACCAACAGAAUAAGCACCGGCUAACUCCGUGCCAGCAGCCGCGGUAAUACAAAGGGUGCAAGCGUUAAUCGGAAUUACUGGGCGUAAAGCGCGCGUAGGUGGUUUAUUAAGAUGGAAGUGAAAGCCCCGGGCUUAACCUGGGAACUGCUUUCAUAACUGGUGAGCUAGAGUACGGUAGAGGGUAGUGGAAUUUCCUGUGUAGCGGUGAAAUGCGUAGAUAUAGGAAGGAACAUCAGUGGCGAAGGCGACUACCUGGACUGAUACUGACACUGAGGUGCGAAAGCGUGGGGAGCAAACAGG